rnacentral:lncRNA from 1 species
GUGUCCUAUGAUCAUUUUGGUCAAGGAGAUGAAUUAUAUGAAAACUAUAUCCACAUGGGUUCUAAGGAUGUUGUUCUACACAUUCGACCUAUCCGGUCGUCGGAUACCAUUGCUAGAUGGUCACUUCGAUUGGUACAAAAAUUUAUUCCUGUGCUAUCGACUUAGGUUCGGACCUAUGAGGUCACACACAUUAGAGUUCAUGAUCCGAUCGGAUGGUUGAUCAACGAUUAAGAAUCGUUCUAGGGUUAAAUGAUCCAUACGAUUGACAUUUAACCCAGUGCAAGUAUUGCAGGAGGAUCGAUUAGCAAUUUGAUUGCUAAUUGGCUUAAUUUGAUUAAGCCAAUGGGCUGAGAUUAAGUCUAAUUAAAUAUGAUUUAAUUAGAUUU